CUAAACAAAUGACAAACACUAUGUUUCAAUCAGUCAUUAUCAAUAACAAAAUUAACCCAUCAUGAUUGAGUUAAAAACACUAAAAUAGUGACAUCAUCGCAUUACAAGAAAGAAAUGUUAUGCCCAAAGCAUUAGAAUAGAUCGUGAAUAGUCUCGUCAAAUGUUAUCUCGUAAUAAAGAAUGACGACUCUGAAUUAAAACUUAUUUGCCUUAAAUCCCCACAAAGCAUAUUAAUUGCUAAAUUGAACCACAAAUGCAUAUAGUGGUAAAUAGAAAUACAGCACACAUAAGGAAGAAAAAGAAAGCUCCCACUACAAAAUAAAAGAAGCAGAAUCUUGGCCUUGCAUGAAAAGCACCAGCUUGCAAUUAGCUUACCCAUUAUUUAAAUAUUUCCAAUAUAUUGAAAAGAAAAAUACAAUUCGAUAAUAAAAGACCAAAAGGAAUCAUAACAAAACAAAACAAAAUCCAAGAGAAUGAAAAAUUCAAAGAUCGGAUAACUAUAUCAUCCUUUUAUGAAAGAAGGAUAACCAAAUUAAAAUCCCAGAUGAUAACGAACACUAGGAAACAAAACUAGUUUAAUAUAAAACAUAACCAAGAAUUGAAAUUCACAAAAUACAUAAAACUGACCCGGGAAGAUCGCCUAGCUGAAAGCUGCUGAAGUCCGGAAGCAGGAAUGAUGAAUUAGGUGAAUGUUUUCUCUUUCCCUCUCCGUCUAACUCCUUGUAAAGCUUGAAGAGUUGUAGUUUAGAGCCUAGGGUUCAACAACCUGCCAUUUCAUACCGCUAGCG
rnacentral:misc_RNA from 1 species